rnacentral:rRNA from 1 species
UAAGGAAUAUUGGUCAAUGGACGCAAGUCUGAACCAGCCAUGCCGCGUGAAGGAUUAAGGCCCUCUGGGUUGUAAACUUCUUUUAUAGGGGAAGAAAUGUGACGGUUCUCCGUCACUUGACGGUACCCUGGGAAUAAGCACCGGCUAACUCCGUGCCAGCAGCCGCGGUAAUACGGAGGGUGCAAGCGUUAUCCGGAUUCACUGGGUUUAAAGGGUGCGUAGGUGGGCAGAUAAGUCAGUGGUGAAAUCUUCCGGCUUAACCGGGAAACUGCCGUUGAUACUAUUUGUCUUGAAUUAUCUGGAGGUAAGCGGAAUAUGUCAUGUAGCGGUGAAAUGCUUAGAUAUGACAUAGAACACCAAUUGCGAAGGCAGCUUACUACAUAUAAAUUGACGCUGAGGCACGAAAGCGUGGGGAUCAAACA